rnacentral:lncRNA from 1 species
AAGAUCGAUCACAGCAUCAAGAAUCAUAACAGAUUACACAAUUACAGUGGAUUAUCGAGAUCAAUAAUUGACUUAUUUAACUUUUCAUUUUUAACCUGACAAAAAAGUCUUAGUAAACCUCAAGUGUUGCAUGAUAUAAAGUGCCAGGCCUCCCAUGGAUUGAAAGCUUCAUAUUUUGUGAUCCUAAUCAUACAAAGAUAAUCAUUAACACCUUUAUGUUCAAAUAAUAAACAUAUAAGUUCAAGAUCUGCCUUAAAUUUGUAGUUUGGGACUGCUAAUAUAAGGCGCAACACACCAUUGGAAUGAACCACUUCUCUCUUGGCAUGCAUAACAAUCUAUAGUGGGGGCAGGACUUGCGGGAUGCUUGUCAUCUAUAGUGGGGGCAGGACUUGCGGGAUGCUUGUCAUUGGAAUCUCAUGAUCAACCGGUGGCAAGGCCUCAGAAUACUCAUAUUCCUGUUCGACUAAUGCAAAUUGUUUGUUCAUCAGUUGUCCAUCAUUGAAGUCCCAAAAUUGUCAGAGAAUUCCAUAUGGGCAUCAUCAUUUGGCAGCACA